GUGCCACGGUUUCUGGCAUAUUCCCACCGGAUCCCCAACUGGUCUCCGUAACUGCCGAAAUUCCUCUCCCUCCUCCAGGGAUUCUGUGGGUCACUCCAUUAGGUUUAGGGUAGCCGGUAGAGGAAGCGAUGGCCCGUGGAGUUUCCCCUUCCUCCAGAUGAACAUCCGGUGAUGGGCCCUCUGCCCCCUUCGGGCUCCGAUCGCCCCCUCCGCUCAUCGUCACUUCACUGCAGCUCCGCAGGAGGGUGAGAAUCAGGGAUUCUCGCUUUAUGUCGCGCUCACUUCAAACGACCGGCAUGAAGACAGACCACUGGUGGCUGUUAUCAAACAGGAUCUUUAUUGAAGAACACUCGACAUGAACAAAGUCGAGAAUGGCAUAAUGUUUACAUACAAUCACCUUUAUCACCUUUGUUUCAACAUCACAUCACACGUAAUUAUCAUCACCACAAAACAGUUACUCAUUAAAAUUGUUUUGGUUACUCUCCUGAGUUUCCCAGGCUUCUCUGCCAGAUGUUCCGUGCGAGAUGUAGAGGAGUGUAAUUUGUUAUGGCUCCGAUUCAAGAGCUUGCAAACUCAGCUCUUGGAAUUGGUCCCAUGACACCAAAUAAUGUGUUAGUACAAAGUAUGUUUUCUUGCAAUGCCUUUCUCAUCAAAACUACUACUUCCUCCUUAGCAUGGGAACCAACCUUUUGCUGCUUCUACAGUACUCACAGCUCAACUUUUUCACUGUCUUUUUUCCCAGUGGGUGUAUCAUCCACACACACAUACUCAACAAAAAUGUACACACUUCCUCACCAAAGUACUAGACCCAGACAUAUGUAACCAUUGAAGGCAAAGCCUCAAGACACACAAAUACACACAUAGAGCAAGAGCCAGUAUCAUUCAUUUACCAAUUUCUGUAUUCAUCUGCCCCGCCCCCUGCCCAACAUGAUCUGUCUUUAAGAAUGCAGUCUUAUGUGUUUCCCACUGAACUCUGUGAUUCUUCUGAGUCGGCCUGCAUAGCCGCCUCCUGCAUAUCCCAUUCCCUUCUCCCCCUUUAUUUUUGUGUAGCCUCAAUCAUCCCUGUUGUGUUUACUGACUGGGAGAAGGAGCCCUUUAUAGUUCAGAUUAGGUGGGCAGAGGGAUAGAAAGACAGAAGGGACAAGAGAAAAACCAGCAAAGAAGAGUAUGGGCAGAUGUAAACUGUAGAUAAAAGGAGUAAAAUGGAAGCAAAGGAAGGAAAAUAAAAGAAAAAAUAUAGAUGAGAGAAGAUCAGAUUUAAAAAGCAGAAGCCAGAAAGUGAAAAAAGAGCAGUAUGGGAAGACUGAAAGAGGAGCCAACACUUAUUGAAAAUACAGGAUGGGGCUGCACGAAAACAAAACCUUUUCACUAUACAGUAUUGUAUGCAGCAUUUGAAAUGUCAUUUGCUUACUCUAUCAUGGCAGCCAGAUGGAAAUUUACAAAUCAGGCACAGUUAUACUGUGAUAUAAAUGCACAAGAUAUAAAUCGGAAUUAGUUAUUAAUUCACUCACAUAAAAAAACUACAUUAAAUUGGCCCACUCCCACAAUAAAUAGAAAUUCAAGUGUUUCACUAUAAAAGAAAAUGAUCAGUGAAACCCAUUUGACAGUGAUAAAAUGAAUAUUGGAUAUUAGGCUUGUGCAUUUUGUGUGAUUCACUAUCUGUUUCUGUUUGCCGGAUACCAGAAACCCUCUAUAUCCAUUUUUGCACACCUCCAAAAAUGGGUGCAUUGCCAAAUGGGCAUUUUCAUUCGGCAUUGGGAGCAAUGGGGAAUUUAGGAGGCUCCCCUUUCCCCUGGGAGCCUUUCCUUUCCUCUCUUUAAGGGAGCCUGGGCUUCAGCAAUGGGGUUAAGGAAGCAUCCUAUCCAGCCCAUUAUGGGGGGGGGGGGGCGCUUAACACAAGCUCCCCUUCCAUAUCCUGCAUUAAGACCUAGAUUUUAAAAAGCAUCAGAGUUAAGAUGCCACUCUUUCUGGAUCCUUUUCCUUCUGUUUGUUGAAGAGACUGUUUUUAAUGCUUCUUAAAGCUGUUUCUACUUUAUGCAGACACAUGCACUUUCUCUUCCACAUGAGCAGUGCGCGACGUAGCUUUCCAAGGCAUUUUAAAAAGGCCCAGGGAAGGAAGAGUGAUGACCUGGAGCUCAGUGGAGCUGUAUCUUCCCUGGACUACCUUAAAAAUCCCCCGUUUUCUCUACUGCCUGCAAUCUCCUUUCUACUUUGGUUUAAUGCUUCCUUACAGCUGUCUCUACUUUCUUCUCUAAAGGAGAGGUAGGCUUCUCUUUUUGUUUUAUGGGAUUAUUAUUAUUAAUUAUUACUAUCUUUUAGAAGUAUUUUCUGAAGGAGAGGAAGGGAAGGAGAAAAAGAAGCUAAAGUAAAUGGGUGACUUUCCAAGCCCCCAAAUGCACGUGCACCCCACCCACCAUCCUUCAGGUCCCAAACUCCCAGUCAGUCCCACUAAAUAAAAAAAAUCAGGAAAAUAAAGGAAAAUCAACAAGAUUAAACUGUGAUGGCAAAUAGGGGAGGAGGAACUGUGAUUGGCUGCCACGUGGUUCCUUUUUGCAUGGGAAUCCGUGACAGCUGGGCCCUUGCCAUUUCAGGCACUUGAACAAAACUGAGAAGCCGGAUUGGUGAAGGAAUGGCUAAAAAUUGACCUGGGCUCAAGUCUGUUGGAUAUCUAAGGAAGAAAACAACAUAACUUCCUAACAUGAAAAAGAAGCACUGUGGGGUUUUUUUUAAUAAAAAGAGCAUUUCCUAAUUACAUAUACAUAUGCAUAAACAUGAUUUAAAGGGACUUACUUUCCUUUUUUUCUGAAGUAGACCAAUCAUGCCCUAGAGUUCAGUGAAAAGUCUUUUUAUCUUGAUCACCUGUUAGGAACAGGUCUCAUACAUUACUAUGCAGGAAUACUAGUGGUGUAUAAAUGAUUCUAAUGGAAUAACUGUGAUAGCAAUAGGAUGGCAUUUUAUUUAAGAUUACCAGAUUAAAUCUCUGCAAAAAAAAUGUUGUGUGAAAGAUCGUUUAAAAAUAAGAGGAUUAAUUUUUUUUCCAAGACAGUUGUUUGAAAGGUUAAGACCAACGUAUAAAUUAUGAUAGAUAGAGCAAUUUGACUUCCUAUCCUUUAUGACCUUGAAGGAGCAGAAUCAGAUAUUAAAUCAAAUAAGAUAUUCAGUUUAUUAAUGACAGUUGACCAUCUACAUUCACUGGAGUUAGGAAUACAGGACCCCUGUGCAGGGGGAAAAACCAUGAAUAAAUUAGAACACCUCUCAAGGCAUUUGUAGUUUUGUCAAUGAAAUUUUAUGAUCAUCUUCUACCAGACGUUGACCAUAAAACCAUGGUAGAGAAUCCACAAAUGCAUAGAGAGAAUUUUCUCCCCCAUCCAGUUUAGGGUAGCAGUCAAGGUGAGGUGAUGCCAAAUACAGAAAUGUACAAAUACUAAAAUCCAUGGAUACUUAACCUGUAAAUGUGGAGAGGUGGUUAUAAUGACAAACUCUAAUUGCGGUCAGUAUGGCCUCAACAGCUGAUUCGGUCCUCUUUUCCUAUGAGCUUCUUGUAGAUAAAAUAAAUGAAAAAUGUCUUUAAAAUGAAAUCAUAAUUUUGAGAGUUUUAAUUCCAUAUGUCACCUAAGAGUUCUUUAAUGAGUUAGUGUUGAUUUACCAGAGCCAGUAUUGUUUGGCACUGCAUAAACAUCUUAGGUAAAGGUACAAAAAAAGCCUUGUCAGUGUUCAUGGAUUUAAAUUGCUGAAAAAAAUGUUGCAGCUCUAACUGGAUUAAUUUUGGGAAUUUAUAUCUUUGUUUUAAUUAUUAGCACAUCACACAUCAGUCAUUUUUGAGAAAGCUAUGCAAUCAGUUCUUCAGCGACACUGUAAUACUUUCUAGAUUAGAAAGUGAUUAUAUUCUAUUUAUUUGCUUCACUUCCCACGAAGCUUCAAGGACUUAUAUUUUAUAUGAAGGUAAUUUCAAGAUAGGGUUUUGAAACUAGUGAGUAUCACAUGAAAGCCCAGAAUUCCUUAAGAUGGCAGCAAGAGAAUUAAAAUGAUAUGAAAAUGAUAUCACAGUAGAUUUCAGGUAAAGCCAAUCUCUGUUCAUCCUCGAAGUAAAGCAGGUUCUGUCUCUUCCAGCAUAAUCCUAUACAUUUCUAUUCAGGAUUAAAUCCCAAUUGAGUUCAGUUUAAUGUACUCCCAGGUGUAUAGGAUUGCAGUUUUAUGACAGUUUCCAGCUACAAGAAUUAGUGUGUUGUUUUAUCAAUCUUAUCAGAGCUCUUAUCACUUCAUCCUCACAAUUUAGCCUGUUUGGGGAGUUACUACUAUUUUAAGGCAGCCAAGCAUCUUCCUAUUGUUUCAGAGAUAAAGCUACAGUAGAGUCUCACUUAUCCAACACUCGUUUAUCCAACGUUCUGGAUUAUCCAACGCCUUUUUGUAGUCAAUGUUUUCAAUAUGUCGUGAUAUUUUGGUGCUGAAUUCAUAAAUACAGUAAUUACUACAUAGCAUUACUGCGUAUUGAACUACUUUUUCUGCCAAAUUUGUUGUCUAACAUGAUGUUUUGGUGCUUCAUUUGUAAAAUCAUAACCUAAUUUGAUGUUUAAUAGGCUUUUCCUUAAUGCCUCCUUAUUAUCCAACAUAUUCGCUUAUCCAACAUUCUGCCGGCCAGUUUAUGUUGAAUAAGUGAGACUCUACUGUAUAUAUGUGCAGCUUCCAAAGCCAUAAAUGCCACUGAGGCUAUACCAGUAGUCACCACAAUAACUUGCCUGUUGUCCAUGUAUGUAGAAAUCUUCUACCCAGCCCAGAGUGGGAGUUUUAAUUGAAACUGAAUAAGUGAAUGAAUGUUUGGACUUGGCGAUUUUCAUCAUUUCCAGAUCACAGGGACAUAAUUCUCAAUCAAUUUCCCUUGGUUUUUUUUUUUAAUAGAUGAACUUAUGUUUAUCAAACAAGAGCUCCAUGUUCUCUUUAGAAAUAGGAAGGAGCUUCAAAAUAACUUCUGAUAUUAAUAGGCAACUCUCCUAUUUAAAAUGUUCAGUAGUUGCACAGGACACCCAAAAGACUUGUGUAUAGCUCUUUGGAUCUCAGCCAGUGUAGAUUUUAUUAAAAUGUUGCUUUAACAUAGUGUUAGAAAAAUAUUCCUACCAUAGCAUAAAAUCUAACAUAAAAUCCUGAAUGAAUAAAUGUGGCUAAUUGGCCAGAAUUACUUUGCACUUUGUUUUUUUUAGUAAUUAAACUGGUGUGAAAUAUAGUACGACCAUCAUAUUCAUGAAGAAUAUGUUCCCAGACUUCACAUAGAUACAUGAAAUGAUGGAGAAUAGCAAACCCUAUUUGAAAUUAAGUACUUGUAGCUGAGGGAAAUCACAAAGUUGUAUUGAAGGAUUAGAAAAUGCAUAGAGAUGAUGUGUUAGAAUGGACACAGAUAAAUGAAACCAUAGAUAUCAGUCUUGCAAAAAUUCCUGAACACUAUUCAAAGGGCUGGUUUUACUUAUCAGUCCUAUGCAGUUCAGGUCCUGGUUAUUUCUGUGACAAACCUGCCCUUUUUAUAAAAUCUUCUGGGGAGACCCUUGUCUCUGUCCUACCAUCCACAUAGGCAUCUGGUGGAGAAAGGACUUUCUCUGUAGUUGCCCUAAGGUUCUGGAAAUCCCUUUCCCAGAGAAUUAGAUUGGGGCACCUUCCCUAUUCUGCUUCCAAAGACAAGUGAAGACUGUUCUGUUUUGAUAGGCUUUUGAGAACUGAUUGAAGAAGGUCUGCCCCAUCUAUUUAAUGUGCUGGGUUUGUUGUGCUGGUAUCCAUAUGGAUGUGUGGGUGUUUUGCAUUUUUGUGGGGUUUUAUCAACUUUUGUAUCCUUUGUAAACAGUGCUGAGUCCUAAGCUGGGAAUGAAUAACAACAACAUUAACAACAACAUAGGGGCUUUGCAAACAUCAAAAGGCCCAAGGUGACACCUUGCAAGAGCAUAUAGAAUGGACAGUUGCAUGAACAUUGAGCACCAAUAAAUAAUAUGACAGGAGUCCCAUAGUCUCACAUCUCAGUUUAAACAAAGGAAGCAUAAGAUGUUUCAUUACAGAAAUGUUUUGAAGUAAAAAGAACUGCAUAUUAUCAACCAGGUGACUUGCUUGUGAUGGAACAUUUUCUCAUGUGUUAGGCUCCUUUGCUAAAUGUUUUGAUCACCUAUCUGUAUCAUUUAUAAAUGUUGUAGCUGCAAUUAUUUUAUUAUUCCCUCUUACUUUUGUUGCAAAAUUCUGGGAAAGGGCUAGUUAAGCAUCCCUUAUUCAGAAAUGUGAAGUCCGAAAUAUUCCAAAAUCCAAAAUUGUCAACAUGGGUGGCUGAGAUUUGCUUUCGGAUAGUUCAAACUUUGUUUCAUAUGCAAAAUUAUUAAAAAUAUUGCAGAAAUAUUUAUUCAAGUCAUAUAUAUACAUACAAUAGAGUCUCACUUAUCCAAGAUAAACGGGCCGGCAGAACAUUGGAUAACUGAAAAUCUUAGAUAAUAAGGAAGGAUUAAGAAAAAAGCCUAUUAAACAUCAAAUUACAUUAUGAUUUUACAAAUUAAGCACCAAAACAUAAUGUUUUACAAGAAAUUGACAGAAAAGGCAGUUCAAUACACAGUAAUGUUAUGUAGUAAUUACUGUAUUUACGAAUUUAGCACCAAAACAUUGCAACAUUUUCUACAAAAACAAUGACUACUGCCUUGGAUAAUACAGAACCUUGGAUAAGUGAAGCUUGGAUAAGUGAGACUCUAUAUAGUGUAUAUGAAACAUACAUGCAUUUCAUAUUUAGCUUUGAAUCUAAGAUUAUCCAAAUAGACAUAUUUCAAAAUUUGAAGAAAAAAAUCUGAAAUCCAAAACAUUUCUGGUCCCACGCAUUUUGGAUAAGGGUUACCUAACUGUACAGUAGUCUCAAUUGAGUGUUAAUAGUCCUAGUGUCUAAAGCACUGUCUCUUACCAUUCAUUCUUUUUUUUUCUGGAAAUACUGCCUUUUUUAAGAUCUGGAAAAAAAUGUAUGCAAUAAAAACAUAGCAAAGCACAUUGAAAAGAAAAUCUAGUGUACAUAAUUUGUUAUGCAAAGGGUGAGGUGGCAAGUUGAAUUUGACUGAAGGAAGCUGUCUGCACAGGAUGUUUAGGCACAUGUGUAGAUUGUGAAGCCACAGAUUAGGCUGUUAUUUUCACACGUCUGGAAAAUGCUUAAACUGACUGAGAUACAGUCUGUCUUUAUUCACUAACAGAGAUGGAGUCUGCCUUUCUUCAUUUUAAUAACAAUUCUGCCACAUUUUCCACGUUUGUUUUGCCACUAUCUAAACAUUUGUAAUCAGACAUAGUGCAGACUGGUGGGGUAUCCAUUUUAUUCCAACAAAAACAUUGGUUUUAAAAUAAAAGUAUUUGCUUCCUGUAUUGCCUCACAGUAAGCAAUUAUGAUAAUCAGUAUAUCUCACAAAACUGAAUUAUUAAUUCUGGAGAACACCCACUUGGCACACAAUGAAUACUUGAGCAUAUCCACAAAUAUACAGUAGAAUCUCACUUAUCCAAGUCUCGCGUAUCCAAGCUUCUGGAUUAUCCAAGCCAUUUUUGUAGUCAAUGUUUUCAAUAUAUCAUGAUAUUUUGGUGCUAAAUUCAUAAAUACAGUAAUUACAACAUAACAUUACUGCAUAUUGAACUACUUUUUCUGUCAAAUUUGUUGUAUAACAUGAUGUUUUGGUGCUUAAUUUGUAAAAUCAUAACCUAAUUUGAUGUUUAAUAGGCUUUUCCUUAAUCCCUCCCUAUUAUCCAAGAUAUUCGCUUAUCCAAGCUUCUGCCAGUCCGUUUAGCUUGGAUAGACUGUAGUUUUCAUUUAUGUGAAAUUUGAAGUUCUUAAAAUGAGAAGAUAUUACCUAAUAUUAAUGAUAAAAUAAUAAUAUUGACAAAUUUGUAAACUCUUUAUAAUUUGUAAACUCUUCAUAUUUGCAAAUGUUGACAGUUUGGCGUUUUUUAAAAGAAGAAGAAGAAGAAGAAGAAGAAAGAAGGAAGGAAGGAAGGAAGGAAGGAAGGAAGGAAGGAAGGAAGGAAGAAAGAAAGAGAGAGAGAGAGAGAGAGAGAGAGAAAGAAAGAAAGAAAGAAAGAAAGAAAGAAAGAAAGAAAGAAAGAAAGAAAGAAAGAAAGCAGCUUCAAAGGAAAGCAAAGUAGCUCAGAGGGAAUAUAGUAACAGGGCAAUUUUACUAAAGGUUGUGAAAUUAUGUUCCCGAAAGACAUACAACAACCGUUGUGAAAUUAUGUUUCACUGCAAAAAAAAUUCAGCAUUAUGCCCGCAUUUUCUCCCCAUCCUUGUUUCAUUCUGGGUUGCAAGAACAUGUGAUGACUGCCUGAGAAGAAUUAGAUAUAGACUUGGGAUUUUUUUUU